rnacentral:lncRNA from 1 species
UCUUCACUCCAGAUAGUGAAACUCUUAAGUCCUGAGCUCUUGAACUGCCUUAGGCCAGGAUACAGCUGGUAGUGGUGGAAAGUGGAGAAGGAAUGCAAGAUUCUUGUUACUCAGCUUCCCCAAACAUAGGCACGUGGGGACAACUACCAGUUUCUUUAGCCUCCUGGUACUUUGAAUGCCUUCAGGAUAUCUUUCAUCAAUGUAAUUGUUGUAUUAAUCAUCAGUUUAUCUUUGGUUUAUUUUGUUAAAAAAAUAGAAUAUUGUGCUUUUAUGUUUUUAACUCACUGUCACAUGAAUGAAUGCCCAGUGGUAGUUGUAAAAAUAAAUGACUAUCUUUUGCAUAUUUUGUCAUUGGAGUUAUCUUCAAAAGGAGAACCCAAUCUCUAUUUGCUUUUCAAAAGUACUAGAUAGAGAAGAGAGUCAGCAUUUCUACUUAUUUCUGAGUUCUUCUCAGUUGCUGAUUGAUCCAGAAUCUCGUUAGGCUUUCCAGAACUUUAUUUCUCCCUCUAUAUUAGUGGUCUAGGUCUGCUGACCUCAUGUUGAUUAUGAAGAUUAAUGGUUUGGUUGUUGAAAAGCCCAAUAGCUGAAAAGAAUCAUGGAAACUGAGACGUCUUCCUUAUCCUUUUUAAUGAUGCAGCUGCUAUAGAUUUUUAAUGAUGAAAGUGAUAAACUGAGCAUUUUGGUCAAAUAAUAGUCAUUUUGCUGUUGAACUCUUCCAGACUUAAGUUAUUAUUUUAAUACAUCUACAUAGGAAUUCUUGAGUUUAGGUUACAAAUUAUCUCUGAGUUAAUUAAUCUUUAAAAUUGGCUGUCCUCUAAAUAGCUAAAGGAAAGUUACCUCAAGUCACAGGGAAUUAUAUUCAGUCUCUUGGGAUAGACCAUGAUGGAAGAUAAUAAAAGAAAGGGGGAGUUCCUGUUGUGGCUCAGAGGUAACAAACCCAACUAGUAUCCAUGAGGUUGCGGGUUUGAUCCCUGGUCCCCUCAGUGGAUUAAUGAUCUGGCCUUGCCAUGAGCUGUGGUGUAGAUCGCAGACACAGCUCAAAUCUGGUGUUGCUGUGUCUGUGGAGUAGACCGGCAGCUGCAGCUCCAAUUCGACCCCUAGCCUGGGAACUUCCAUUUGCCACAGGUGCGACCCCAAAAAUUAAAUAAAGUGAACAUAUAUCUAUAUAUGUAGACUGGAUCACUUUGCUGUACAGCAGAAAUUGGCACAACAUUGUAAAUCAACUAUGAAAAUAAUAAGAACAAAAGAAAAUUGGGGCAUUUACAUUUACAAUCUGUAAAAUCUGCUAAAUGACCUCAUGUACUCUCUGUCUUGUUUAUUUUCAUUCUCAACUUGCUGUAGAUCAAAAAUACCCUUAAGAACUCCAGUAUCUCCGCAGAGAAUUUUGUCUUUACUCCUCCUCCUUCAACCUGAGACUGGUGAUUUCAGGAAUGUGUUGAACAAUGAGGUUCUUGAAAUAGUUACCAUCUAUAUUAGUUUCCUAUGGCCACAUAACAAAUUACUACAAACUUAGUGCAUCAGAAAUAGCUUCUCUCAUCAUUCUGGAAGUCAGAAGUCCAGAAUCAGUAUCAGUGAGCUGAGAUCAAAGUGUUGGCAGGACUCUGUUCUGUCUGGACGCUCUAGAAGAGAAUGCCUUUUUUAGUCUCUAAUGACUGUCAACAUUUCCUGGCUUGUGGCUGCAUCACUUCACAAUCUCUACUUUCAUGGUCAAUUGACUUGUCCUCCUGUGUCUGUGUGUAAUCUCCCUCUUCUAAAGAUACAUCUAAUUGAAUUUAGGACACAUCUAGGUAAUCCAAGAUAGUCUCCCUAUUUUAAAACCCUUAACUUAAUUAUAUCUGCAGAAUCCUUUUUUCCAUAUAAGGUAAUAGACACAGGUUCCAAGCAAGGAUCAAGAUACGGCUUUCAUUUAGGGGAGAGACUUAUUUAGCUUAGCACACCAUUUUCUCCUGUGCACCUGUCCUCCGUUUCCUGCCUUGUCCUCCCUUCAUUUCUGCUGGGACCACUCAGCCAGACCAAGAAAAUAUGAGAGAUGUCCAAAGAUCUCACUUUCCUAUUCACUCUUUGUACUUUAGAUGAAACAAGUGAGCAAGUAAUGGCAGAUCCAAGCAUUAAGAUUAUAUAGGACUGGAUAAGGCUGGAUCCAUGAGCAAUGGUCUGCAGAUUUUUAUCUUUUGUUUGCCCUGAUUCACGUAAUUUCGAUCUUAAUUCUAAGGACACUUGCCUGAAGAGAUUCAAUUCUGCCUUUCUCAGCAUUAACCUUGCUCCAUCACUCUGCCUAAGGCCAGGAGAAUCCAAUGGCUCAAUCAAAUGUCAACUUCCUGUCACACUCCAUUCAGGAAAACUGUAUGCUGUAGCAGUGGGUCUUGAGUGUUUAUUCUUAUGCUACAUAAUGAAGAGGGACAUUGCAGAAAGGUGGCUGUGGGGAAAACAUCUGGAAGAAAUAAAUUCCCUAGGAUCAAAGGGUUCCGUGUGCAGCCCAGAGGGUCCUCAUGGUGCUCCCAAGAGCAAACAAACAAUUCUCUUGAUGAGUCACUGCAAUUUUUUUCUGCCAAAAGCCCACAUGUGUUGCAAGAUCUCAAGGAAAAGGGGUGGAAUAAGGAGAGAGAAGGAAAAUUAAAGAAGGCAACAAAAGUGAUUUUUAAAAGAUCCUAACCAUAUGAAUUAAAGAAAUCUCAAUAUGAUUACAAUCCUUUAAUAUUCCCACCAUCCUUAAUAUUGGAUUACUUAUACUGGGGCAGAGUAAAAUUAAAUAUCACAAAAUAUUUUUUAAAACACAAAAACCAGUGGGACAAAGAAAGGAUGUUUUGGAAGAAUAUUACACUCUGAAACAAUAUAUUUUUUUCUCUAACAUGUGAAAAUUGGCAGAGGAGGGUGAAGCCCAGGACUAUGUCCCAAACCCUAGCCAGUGGCAUUUUACUGAGGAAAAAAAAAAAGUUACUUAUGAAUCAGUACAGCCAUGCUUUGUUCUGCAUGAGUGUUUUAAUAGAGCGAGUGUAAUAUAAGGAUCAGGUGGGCUCGUGGGAAUGGAACAAAAGGUUUUGUAAAAUUAAAGCAAAAUAAUUAUAGCUCUAGGUGCAAAGCGAGCAUACUCCAGCAGUUGAUAGCAAGGACCUGCUCAGAAUGGAGAAGGGAGGGGCUGUGCUGGAAGUUUUUUUUUUUUAUUUUUUUUUUAUUCACUAACAAAGGCUUUUAAUAGGUAACAGUUGUAAAGCGUCUUUGAAAGUAAUUAAUGCACCCACACAAAAAUUUAUUAAAAUGAAAAUUUAAGGAAUUGUCUAAAAUGAAUUAAUUAACAAAAAAAGAACAUCAUGCCUUUCUUAUUUUUUAAAGAAGGAGAGAAGGUUAAGCAAAGCAGAUUUUUGUGAGAUUGCAUUUUAAAUGUUCCUGGUUUAUUUAGUAUCUGAAUAGCCCUAAAAAGGAUAGUUGGCAGAAUUAAUUCUUAUUCACCCCCUUCAGAAAUACUAAAUUGCAACAGACAUAAAAUGGUGAUUAAUUUGGUGUGCAUGGGACUCAAAGUCCUUCAAAUUAUGAUAUUUCCCUAUAAAAUGACCAGAGUUUUUACUAAGUUUUCAGAGACCGGUAGUAAGCAGAAUGUGAUACUCAAAAGAAGAGGAAGGUGAGUGUUUUUUCUCACGUGGUCUUCAUCUUUCAGGGCUCUUAAUAGGCCUUUUAGAGCUGCAUUUCCUGUUGUGGCCUCAUGGAACAGAAAAGGAAGGCUGCAAAGUGUGUUGCUAGUAAUUUUUACCUCAAGUAGUUCCUAUCUCUACAGGGAAAAAAAAAUGAGCUGCAUUUAUCCCAUUUCUGCAAGAAUUUUUAAUCACCAUAUUUGUUUUUCUUUUGAAUUCUGUUGGAUUAUUUCAUACUGUGAUAUAAUUAUAAGUAGAACAUGUACUACCUGCUGAGAUUUUACCCUUUAUUGUAAGAAUCAUUUCUAGUUUAUUAUAAAAGUAUAUGUUUUCAGUAUAUUGCUGUUAUACCUCAAAAAGUUUUAGGUUCUGAACUUAGAUAUGUCUUCAAAGGUCAAGUCCUCUAAACCUUCCGUGUUGAAAAGUCAUUGGAGAAUUGCUGCCUUUCCUCCAAUGUUGUUUUGUUUUGUCAAGGUCAGAAUACAGCU